UCUCGGUGAUGAUUAACACAGAUGACGAGUCGGAUUAAUCCAUUCUUUAAAAUCAUGACGACAAAACGAGGCAUUUGUCUGAGAGAA
rfam:Beta vulgaris subsp. vulgaris chromosome 3, whole genome shotgun sequence.